rnacentral:lncRNA from 1 species
AACCAUCCUUAACCAAACUACUGUUUAAUAAACUUAUUGAUUUCAUCAUUCAGCCUUCAAUGAGUCUUAAAAAUCAAAUGAUGCCCACUACCAAUGUGAAACAAGUCUAAAUUGCUUUAACAGAAAAAGAUGUUGCUGGUCCAUUUGACGAAGAAGUCCAGAGCGGCUUGUGACUUCAGUCUGGCUUUGCAGAGCCCAGGUGCUCUCUCCACCUUCUGCCAGGUUCCCCUAUGAAGGCUUUGCUCUCAGACUCUCCCCUUGUGGAGACAAAAAUCCCACAGCAAGUGGAAACAGAAGUGCCUUGGAAAAAGUUAUUCUGGCAGCUCCUAUACAAGUCCCCCAUCAGAUGCUGGUAUUGGACCAGCUUUGGUUAUAAAGCCCUGCUGUGGCACCAAAAGGAAUGUCGUCCUGAUACAGCAGCCUCGGGUCACCCAAUCCACUCCAGAUACUAUGGCUGCAGCAUCAAUGUAAGCAGACAAGUUGUGCUGCCUCUGAAAUAAAGUAGAUGAAAUAUUCAGCAGCAGAAAGAACAAGUUUCCACUCCAGUGAACUAAUUCAAAUGUAUCCAG